CCAUCCCCCACACAAUCUCAUCUUCCAACUCUCUCUCUCUCUCUGUCUCUCUCUCUCUCUCCAACUUCUCUACGAUCAAUCAUCUCUAUAUAAACUUGACUCAAAUGACACUUUCCAAAUUCUAUUCCUCUUCUUUCCUUCUCAAAAACCCAUAUCCGAAUACACCCUUCUGAGGACAACCCAUUAAUCUUUAUCCACAGUUGAGUCAGAGAACACACAUCCACAAUGACCCACUUGGAUUUCUUCAAGAAAUUAAAGCGCUUGACCCCUCUUGACCCCACAACCAGCAUUCUUGCUUUCUUCUUCGUCUCUGUUUGCUUCAUCCUCUGUUUCAUUUACUUGGAUUACAGAGCUGUGACCACAGAGUUUCGUUCCCGUGUAGACCCACCCAGCUUGAUAGAGUGGUCUGGUAUCAAUGGGUCGUUGGAUGAGAAUCGAAGGCCAAGAUUUCUCGAAGAGGGUGGUGGUGAUGGGUGUGAUGUCUUUGAUGGUGAAUGGGUUUGGGAUGAUAGUUAUCCUUUAUAUAAAUCCGAAGAUUGCUUGUUCUUAGACAAUGGAUUUCGAUGCUCUGAGAAUGGAAGGCCUGAUAGUUUCUACACAAAAUGGCGUUGGCAACCCAAAAAUUGCGAUUUACCCAGAUUUGAUGCAAAGAACAUGCUGGAAAAGCUGCGAAACCACCGGCUUGUGUUUGUUGGUGACUCUAUUGGAAGAAACCAAUGGGAGUCCCUUCUCUGCAUGCUCUCCUCUGCAGUUCCUGAUAAAACUUCAAUAUUUGAAGUGAAUGGUAGCCCAAUCACAAAGCACACUGGUUUCUUGGCAUUCAAGUUCAGGGAUUUCAACUGCACUGUUGAGUACUACAGAGCUCCAUUUCUAGUGGCGCAGGGUCGGGCCCCGGCUAGAGCGCCCGAAAAGGUGAAGACUACUUUGAGACUGGAUCGAUUGGAUUGGAGCUCAUUGAAGUGGAAAGGUGCAGAUGUAUUGGUUUUCAACACCGGGCAUUGGUGGAAUUAUGAGAAAACUAUGAGAGGGGGUUGUUACUUUCAGGAAGGAGAGAAAGUGAAGAUGGAGAUGAGUGUAGAAAGCGCGCUUCGGAGAGCAAUUGAGACAAUGGUGGAUUGGAUAGGCAGUGAAGUAAAUCUGAGCAAGACCCAGGUCAUUUUUCGAAGCUACGCACCUGUACACUUCAGGAGCGGCAACUGGAAGACUGGCGGUAACUGUCACCGGGAGACAUUGCCUGACUUGGGUUCAUUACCUGUUUCACCACAAACGUGGGGUCACUUCAAGACUGUCAUUGAUGUGUUAACAGAACACUCAAACAAGUCACAAGUGAAGAAAAUUGAUUUUUUGAACGUGACAUAUAUGACUUCAAGGCGAAAAGAUGGCCACUUGUCUUUGUAUUAUUUAGGGCCCAAGAUCGGACUGGCCCCUCUCCACCGCCAAGACUGCAGCCACUGGUGCCUGCCAGGUGUCCCUGAUUCGUGGAACGAGCUUCUCUAUGUGAACUUCCUCAAGUGGGAGCACAAUCACAUAAGUUAUGCACAUCACUAAAACUAGCACCAUCGAUUUCUCUUCCAUUGCGUUAAAGAGGGGAUAAGGUAAAGUAAGGCAUAGCUAUCCAACGCCUAAAAAGAGAAGUGAACUUAUCAAAGAACAAGUCUUAUUUGGUACAUCAUAUUGCAGUUAUUCCCGUAAGGGAGAGUAAACUUGCGCUACUUGUGAAAUACCGGAAAUGCCCUUUUGGACAACGAUGCAGUCUGCUCUAAUACAAUAGUCAGGAUGGUGGAGAAAUUCGUGGCAGUAGAUUUUCAGUGGUUGUGGAUGCUGGCAAUAGAUUCUGUAUAGACUAUACAACUUUCAGUAGAUAGUGUUGGAUUUCUGAAGCAAAUUCCACAGUUGAAAGGAGAUAUACACAAAAAUUUAUCGCUGCGGAUUCAUGUUCAGUAGCUGAAAUGGAAAUUUGGAUCCAUUGAAAAAUUACUGAUAAAUAAUAGCAAAGGAAGCAAGCUUUUGGAACUUGGAGGCUGUAGAGUUAUGAAGUUCAUCACUAGCCCACAUGGGACAAAUAAGUAAGCUUGUGAAGAUGCAGACAGUGAAGCCCAUGCCGAUGGUUGAGAGACGU